GAUGAACGCUGGCGGCGUGCCUAAUACAUGCAAGUCGAGCGAACAGACGAGGAGCUUGCUCCUCUGACGUUAGCGGCGGACGGGUGAGUAACACGUGGAUAACCUACCUAUCAGACUGGGAUAACUUCGGGAAACCGGCGCUAAUACCGGAUAAUAUAUUGAACCGCAUGGUUCAAUAGUGAAAGACGGUUUUGCUGUCACUUAUAGAUGGAUCCGCGCCGCAUUAGCUAGUUGGUAAGGUAACGGCUUACCAAGGCAACGAUGCGUAGCCGACCUGAGAGAGUGAUCGGCCACACUGGAGCUGAGACAGGGUCCAGACUCCUACGGGAGGCAGCAGUAGGGAAUCGUCCGCAAUGGGCGAAAGCCUGACGGAGCAACGCCGCGUGAGUGAUGAAGGUCUUCGGAUCGUAAAACUCUGUUAUUAGGGAAGAACAAAUGUGUAAGUAACUAUGCACGUCUUGACGGUACCUAAUCAGAAAGCCACGGCUAACUACGUG
rnacentral:rRNA from 1 species